rnacentral:rRNA from 1 species
GACGAACGCUGGCGGCGUGCUUAAUACAUGCAAGUCGAACGGAAAGGCCCUGCUCUUGUGGGGUGCUCGAGUGGCGAACGGGUGAGUAACACGUGAGUAACCUGCCCUUGACUUUGGGAUAACUUCAGGAAACUGGGGCUAAUAUCGGAUAGGAGCUCCUGCUGCAUGGGGGGGGUAGGAAAGUGUCGGCGGUUGGGGAUGGACUCGCGGCUUAUCAGCUUGUUGGUGAGGUAGUGGCUUACCAAGGCUUUGACGGGUAGCCGGCCUGGGAGGGUGACCGGGCACAUUGGGCCUGAGAUACGGACCAGAAUCCUACGGGAGGCAGCAGUGGGGAAUAUUGCGCAAUGGGCGGAAGCCUGAUGCAGCGACGCCGCGUGCGGGAUGACGGCCUUCGGGUUGUAAACAGCUUUCGCCUGUGACGAAGCGUGAGUGACGGUAAUGGGUAAAGAAGCACCGGCUAACUACGUG